GACGAACGCUGGCGGCGUGCCUAAUACAUGCAAGUUGAGCGCUGAAGGUUGGUACUUGUACCAACUGGAUGAGCAGCGAACGGGUGAGUAACGCGUGGGGAAUCUGCCUUUGAGCGGGGGACAACAUUUGGAAACGAAUGCUAAUACCGCAUAAAAACUUUAAACACAAGUUUUAAGUUUGAUAGAUGCAAUUGCAUCACUCAAAGAUGAUCCCGCGUUGUAUUAGCUAGUUGGUGAGGUAAAGGCUCACCAAGGCGAUGAUACAUAGCCGACCUGAGAGGGUGAUCGGCCACAUUGGGACUGAGACACGGCCCAAACUCCUACGGGAGGCAGCAGUAGGGAAUCUUCGGCAAUGGACGAAAGUCUGACCGAGCAACGCCGCGUGAGUGAAGAAGGGUUUCGGAUCGUAAAACUCUGUUGGUAGAGAAGAACGUUGGUGAGAGUGGAAAGCUCAUCAAGUGACGGUAACUACCCAGAAGGGGACGGCUAACUACGUG
rnacentral:rRNA from 1 species